ensembl:lncRNA
GAGAAUAUUGGUUGGUUGCGAGAUACAGAAGAAUAAGAACAUACAGAAGAAGAGAUAAUAUUUCUACAGCUCCACGAGCUCUUUUCGCGGUUGGCAAAAGCAUGGUAUUUGAAGUAAAUUUUAAGUUUUAGCAUCGGGUUUAGAUUUCCUGAAAACUUUUACGAAAGUUGAGUUGCUAUAUGUAUCAAGGGAUGACACAGAGACCUCUGGCUCUGAGCAAGACAGUGAGCCAGAGCUGCCUGGAGAUGUCAUCGAGCACCAGAUAUGCUGUUCCAAAAUGACCCAACUUUAAACUACACAUUUUAGUUAGCAGCUAUAUUUCAAGAUCCAGAGAAGAAGGUCCUGUACAGCUGUGUUUGAAAACAUUUCACAGAACUCAGCUUGGUACUAGGAACAGGCCUUUCAACAGCUGGUAUAAGGACAAUUCAUGGCUUGAAUAUUCUGUAAAUCAAGAUUUGACUUAUUGUUUCUCCUGUAGACAUUUUUCUCUGCUCAAUACACCUGAAUCUGCCUUCACAUCACAGUCAGGUUUUUGUAACUGGAAAAAAAAGGGUCUGUUUAAAGAUUCUGGGUUUAAGCUCCAUUCGAAGGCAGAGCAUCAUAUCAAUGCUAUGUAUGCUUGGAAUCAGCAUAACAGGGCUAUUGACAGCAACUCAUCAAUGUUAGAUGUCAUAAAUGAGGACCGGAAAAGAAAGUGGAGAAAAACUGUACUUACAUUAAAACUAUUGCAGAUGUGCUCCUAUUAACUGCCACUCAAAAUAUGGCACAGAGUUCACCGAGAGUCUAAUGACUCACAACAAGGGACAUUUUUUGACAGUAUUAGAAGAAAUAGCAAAGCAUGACACUCAGAGAAAAGGAUGAAUGCAUGUGGCAAUGCUAAGUACACAAGCCACGAAAUCCAGAACAAAGUUCUUGAGGGCUUAGCUGAGAUGGUACAAAGUGAAGUAAUAAGAGAAUUAAAAGAAAGUGAAGUUUUUAGUGUAAUUGCAGAUGAAACCAAAGAUUUAAAGAAAAAAUAACAAAUGUCUUUAGUUGUGACGUACUGUUACAACGGGGCCAUCCACAAAAGCUUGUUACACUUUCAGUCAGCUGAAAGCUUAGAUGCAGCAGGUCUCACAAAAAUGAAAAUUGAUUGGCUUGAAAAACAUGUUCUGGACUACAGAAAUAAUCUUGUGGGGCAAGGCUACGACAGUGCAUCCAUCAUGAGCGGAAAGUAUUCUGGUGUGUCCGCACGGAUUAAAAACAGUGCAAGAUUUGCAUUUUAUGUGCACUGUAAUGCGCAUUGUUUGAAUUUGGCUCUUGUGGAUGCUGUAAAAUCAGUGCCUGAGGCAGUUAAAGCUUCUGCAGGAGAGCAAAAAAGUUCUAGCUUUGUAUCUGGCUUGUAUGUUCAUCUCAAGUGGCUUGCAGUUCAGAAAGAGCUGUAUCCACAGCAGCAGUCCCUCUGGUCAGGAUUAAAACCUGCACUGGUGACUAGCUAGUAUACUGACAUUCUAAAAUUAUACAUCCAAGGGGUAUCAUGUCACACAGAUUUAAUUUGGUCUUGAUUAGGCCAAUUCCAAAACUUUUCUUUGCUAUUAGUUAACAUAAUAUAUUUUAGCAUAAAUAUGAUACUGUAAGUUUAAUAUCGAUGGGUGACAAAAAGUCAAUUUCUUGAUACCUGGU